rfam:Gossypium hirsutum cultivar TM-1 chromosome 16, whole genome shotgun sequence
UAUUCAAAAUUUCAUCCACUUGUACUAUUAAAAGUUGACGUGAUUGACAAAAUAACUAGACAAUGGCAUGUGACGUGCCAAAUGUAUAUCAUGUUGACGUACAUGGACAAAUUUUUAAUAGAAAAAUGGAUGAAAUUUUUAACA